ACGUAUUCGUGGCCGGUCACAGUCAAGAUAUGGUAGGUACAAUAAUAUCGUAUGCCUCUAGAGGGAGCUUAUGCAGCCACUUUUCCUUUACAAAUUUACAAAUCGGACAAAGUCAAAGACUUACAAAAAAAUAGUAUUUCUUUAAUACAUGUAUAUACAGUAUGUCAACAAGAGAAUAAGUGCCCGGAAAAACACUUUUAUCUUUUCUGGUACCUUCACUAUUUCUCACAUGGGACAAGUCUGGUACAUGUUACUCUCCAAGCAGAGAUUGAAUCGCGUAGAUAUAGUAGAAGUCGGAAAAAUUACACGGGCUCUCUUCUCGUAAGAGGAGCGCCCGCGUGUAAUUUUUUCUUGAAGAGGAGCGCCCGUGUAAUUUCCCCGACUACUACUAUAUAUCCUAUAUCUACACAACUCAACCUCUGCUUGGAGAAUAGGUACAUGCAUGUGUAUGUGUAUAAAUGCGAACCAUAUGUGGCGGCCAGACCUGAUUGGUCAGUUCGUAAUCGUGUCGUCUACCACGCAUGCCUGGAAUGUGGGCGCGGUAAGUUUGACGGUUGACUGAGUGAACAGACAUCCAAGCCGCGGUGAGCUGUUUGUGUGCGUAUGCUCAGUUAUCUGCAGGUUUCCAUGCUCCCAUCGCAAAUAUCAUCUGGAGGAAUACACCGCGGGAUUCUUUAUUUUCUGGACCAACUUGUGAUUUACAAGGAUUGGCCGACACCUAUUCGGGACACUUAGUGGAUGCUACAACAACGGGUAAACUCAGGCGACACCAUCGGCCAAUUUGACAGGCACGGCACAAGCAUCCUGUCAUCUCGAGGGAAAUAAGGCCAGUUGCAGUGGUACACCUGUGCGGCGCAACACCCUGUGAGCACAAAUGCUCCAAAUACCUCCUGGCUCUCCGUUGCACGGGAUAUUCAAGAAACACGGGAUCUUCAGGUAGU